rnacentral:rRNA from 1 species
UCAGGAUGAACGCUAGCGACAGGCCUAACACAUGCAAGUCGAGGGGCAGCGCGGGAGAAGCUUGCUUUCCUGGCGGCGACCGGCGCACGGGUGCGUAACAGGUGUGCAAUCUGUCCAUAGUCGGGGGGAUAGCCCAGCGAAAGCUGAAUUAAUACUCCAUGUGAAUCGAAGCCGCAUGACUUUGAUUUGAAACGCAAGGACUAUGGGUGAGCACGCUUCUGAUUAGGUAGUUGGUGGGGUAACGGCCCACCAAGCCGACGAUCAGUAGGGGUUCUGAGAGGAAGGUCCCCCCACAUUGGAACUGAGACACGGUCCAAACUCCUACGGGAGGCAGCAGUGAGGAAUAUUGGUCAAUGGGCGAGAGCCUGAACCAGCCAAGUCGCGUGAAGGAUGAAGGUUCUAUGGAUUGUAAACUUCUUUUGUCCGAGGGUAAAAAAGGCCACGUGUGGCUUCUUGCAAGUAUCGGACGAAUAAGCAUCGGCUAACUCCGUGCCAGCCGCUGC